AGAAAAUUUUCAGCAAAUUUUACUUAUAGCGGCCUCCGGCGUGUAGCUAUGAGGUUACAGUUUCCUCAACACUGCUUUUCUGUGAUCUCGUAAGUAGCUGCAGUCAGGAGUUUACGUGCGAAGAUCUACCGCUGUAAAGAGAUAACAGGAGAAAGGAAUGAUGGGCAUGCACGGCCAAAAAAUGUAUGGCAGAAUAGAAUAGAAGAAACAUCUCCUUAG